rnacentral:rRNA from 1 species
UACAGAGGGUGCGAGCGUUAAUCGGAAUUACUGGGCGUAAAGGGUGUGUAGGUGGUUAUGUGCGUUUGAUGUGAAAUCCCCGGGCUUAACCUGGGAACUGCAUUGAAUACGGCAUAGCUUGAGUCGGACAGAGGGCAGCGGAAUUUCCGGUGUAGCAGUGAAAUGCGUAGAGAUCGGAAAGAACACCAAUGGCGAAGGCAGCUGUCUGGGUCCAGACUGACACUGAGGCACGAAAGCGUGGGGAGCAAACAGG